AUUGAACGCUGGCGGCAGGCCUAACACAUGCAAGUCGAACGAGUGGCGGACGGGUGAGUAAUGUCUGGGAAACUGCCUGAUGGAGGGGGAUAACUACUGGAAACGGUAGCUAAUACCGCAUACCAUCGGAUGAGCCCAGAUGGGAUUAGGUAGUAGGUGGGGUAAAGGCUCACAUAGCCGACGAUCUCUAGCUGGUCUGAGAGGAUGACCAGCCACACUGGAACGGAGACACGGUCCAGACUCCUACGGGAGGCAGCAGUGGGGAAUAUUGCGCAAUGGGGGAAAGCCUGAUGCAGCCAUGCCGCGUGUAUGAAGAAGGCCUUCGGGUUGUAAAGUACUUUCAGCGGGGAGGCGUUACCCGCAGAAGAAGCACCGGCUAACUCCGUGCCAGCAGCCGCGGUAAUUC
rnacentral:rRNA from 1 species